UACGUAGGGUGCGAGCGUUAAUCGGAUUUACUGGGCGUAAAGCGUGCGCAGGCGGCCCGUUAAGACAGGUGUGAAAUCCCUGGGCUCAACCUAGGAAUUGCGCUUGUGACUGGCGGGCUCGAGUACGGUAGAGGGGGGUUGAAUUCCUGGUGUAGCAGUGAAAUGCGUAGAGAUCAGGAGGAACACCGAUGGCGAAGGCAGCCCCCUGGGCCUGUACUGACGCUCAUGCACGAAAGCGUGGGGAGCAAACAGG
rnacentral:rRNA from 1 species